rnacentral:rRNA from 1 species
UUGGAAGAGGGGGUCAAACCCCGAUCAGCCAUGCCGCGUGAAGGAAGAAGGUCCUAUGGAUUGAAAACUGUUUUUAUA